CCUACGGGUGGCAGCAGUGAGGAAUAUUGGUCAAUGGGCGGAAGCCUGAACCAGCCAAGUAGCGUGCCGGAUGACGGCCCUACGGGUUGUAAACUGCUUUUAUACGGGAAUAACGCGCCUUCCGUGUAGGGCUUUGCAUGUACCGUAUGAAUAAGGACCGGCUAAUUCAGUGCCAGCAGCCCCGGUACUACGGAAGGUCCGGGCGUUAUCCGGAUUUCUUGGGUUUAAAGGGAGCGUAGGCCGCAUGUCAAGCGUGCUGUGAAAUGUCCGGGCUCAACCCGGGCCUUGCAGCGCGAACUGGCGUGCUUGAGUCCGCGGAAAGCAGGCGGAAUUCGUCGUGUAGCGGUGAAAUGCUUAGAUAUGACGAAGAACCCCGAUUGCGAAGGCAGCUUGCUGCAGCGGAACUGACGCUGAUGCUCGAAAGCGCGGGUAUCGAACAGGAUUAGAUACCCGUGUAGUC
rnacentral:rRNA from 1 species